rnacentral:tRNA from 1 species
GGAAAAAUCGCCAUUGGUAAGGCAGGAUAUUUGCUAAAUAUUGCCCCUUAGGGCCUGGAUGUUCGAAUCAUCUUUUUUCCG